rnacentral:rRNA from 1 species
AUUGAACGCUGGCGGCAGGCCUAACACAUGCAAGUCGAACGGUAGCACAGAGAGCUUGCUCUUGGGUGACGAGUGGCGGACGGGCGAGUAAUGUCUGGGAAACUGCCUGAUGGAGGGGGAUAACUACUGGAAACGGUAGCUAAUACCGCAUAACGUCGCAAGACCAAAGAGGGGGACCUUCGGGCCUCUUGCCAUCAGAUGUGCCCAGAUGGGAUUAGCUAGUAGGUGGGGUAAUGGCUCACCUAGGCGACGAUCCCUAGCUGGUCUGAGAGGAUGACCAGCCACACUGGAACUGAGACACGGUCCAGACUCCUACGGGAGGCAGCAGUGGGGAAUAUUGCACAAUGGGCGCAAGCCUGAUGCAGCCAUGCCGCGUGUAUGAAGAAGGCCUUCGGGUUGUAAAGUACUUUCAGCGAGGAGGAAGGCAAUACGGUUAAUAACCGUGUUGAUUGACGUUACUCGCAGAAGAAGCACCGGCUAACUCCGUGCCAGCCGCCGCCGUAAUAC